rnacentral:lncRNA from 1 species
UUUUAAACACUUAAUUAACACUAAUUAAGUAUUUCUUUAUUACAUUCUCUCUCCUACUUUAUCACUUUAUUACCUUCUCUUUCUUACUUUAUCACUUUAUUACUUUCUCUCUCCUACUUUAUCACUUUAUUAUUACACACUUAAAACAUUAAUCUACAACUCCUUAAAUCCCGUGCCGAAAAGCUAAUGUAGCGUCUUGGCCGGGACGGAGGGAGUAUUUU